AUUCCAUGCUCUUCUCAGUAAAUUGGUUAAAUUUGUGUAUUUUAUGCUAUUCAUUGGCCAAAUGGUAUAUCAUUCAGCUUUCCACAACAGACUGCCUAACACCAUGUCUCAGCUUGGAUGGUAUGUUUAGUCCCCAAUUCUCUUCCUAUCCUCUUCAACACAUGAAAAGUUCACAAUCCAAUGAUCGAAGAUAUGAAUCUCUGUGUUUCGUAAUUUCUUACACUUCCCCAGCUAACUUUUGAUUCUUCCAAGUAAAAGAAUAUAUGGCUUACCAGUUGCUGGUUUCAGGGGACUUGGUGUUGGCCGUAAACAAAGAGAGUUAUAAAGCCAAAUAUAACUCACCAAG